rnacentral:rRNA from 1 species
AUUGAACGCUGGCGGCAUGCUUUACACAUGCAAGUCGAACGGUAACAGAUCUUCGGAUGCUGACGAGUGGCGAACGGGUGAGUAAUACAUCGGAACGUGCCUAGUAGUGGGGGAUAACUACUCGAAAGAGUGGCUAAUACCGCAUGAGAUCCACGGAUGAAAGCAGGGGAUCGCAAGACCUUGUGCUACUAGAGCGGCCGAUGGCAGAUUAGGUAGUUGGUGGGAUAAAAGCUUACCAAGCCGACGAUCUGUAGCUGGUCUGAGAGGACGAUCAGCCACACUGGGACUGAGACACGGCCCAGACUCCUACGGGAGGCAGCAGUGGGGAAUUUUGGACAAUGGGCGCAAGCCUGAUCCAGCAAUGCCGCGUGCAGGAUGAAGGCCUUCGGGUUGUAAACUGCUUUUGUACGGAACGGAAAGCCCUGGGUUAAUACCCUGGGGUCAUGACGGUACCGUAAGAAUAAGCACCGGCUAACUACGUGCCAGCCGCCGCGGUAAUAC